AUUGAACGCUAGCGGCAGGCCUAACACAUGCAAGUCGAACGGUAGCACAGAGAGCUUGCUCUCGGGUGACGAGUGGCGGACGGGUGAGUAACGUCUGGGAAACUGCCCGAUGGAGGGGGAUAACUACUGGAAACGGUAGCUAAUACCGCAUAACGGCGCAAGACCAAAGUGGGGGACCUUCGGGCCGCACACCAUCGGAUGUGCCCAGAUGGGAUUAGCUAGUAGGUUGGGUAAUGGCUCACCUAGGCGACGAUCCCUAGCUGGUCUGAGAGGAUGACCAGCCACACUGGAACUGAGACACGGUCCAGACUCCUACGGGAGGCAGCAGUGGGGAAUAUUGCACAAUGGGCGCAAGCCUGAUGCAGCCAUGCCGCGUGUAUGAAGAAGGCCUUCGGGUUGUAAAGUACUUUCAGCGGGGAGGAAGGCGGUGAAGUUAAUAGCUUCACCGAUUGACGUUACCCGCAGAAGAAGCACCGGCUAACUCCGUGCCAGCCGCCGCGGUAA
rnacentral:rRNA from 1 species